CAAACGCGUUCGUUCCAUUUUGCCAGACCACAAUUUUGCACACAGCAUUUCCGCACACGACAAGCAAUACCAAAUUUUAAGAGCCAAGCCAAAUUAAACCUCCAACCUUGUCGCAAAAAUAGCAACGUGUAUGACCUCAAUUUUCAUUGCUUUCCAAGUCGUGUCGCGUGACAGAUUCCCUUCUGCUACUGGCACCACUAGGCGAGGACUCUGAGGGUCGUUUCGUGUGAAGAGACGGCUCUUUAUUAGGAGACCCAGCACUGACAACACGGUGAGGAAUUGUGUCAGGAGAGGGAAUCUCCUUACCAAUACAAGUGAUACCUGAAUCGGAGGCCUUUCCAGCUUUGUUUAAGGCAUAGUCGCCUGAAUCAAAGUAUUUUCUACCUUGCUAAAAAGGGGUAGAGUUAGAAUAAAUAUGACAAUUUAUCCAAAACACAUCCAUUCCUCCAUACCUGUAAUUUUUGAACUAAUAGAUCCUUUCG